AUAUAAGUUGUUGCAGUUAAAAAGCUCGUAGUCGGAUUUCGGGGCUGGCCGGGCGGUCUGCCGAUGGGUAUUCACUGUUCGGCGCGUCCUUCUUUCCGGAGACCGCGCCUACUCUUAGCUGAGCGGGCGUGGGAGACGGAUCGUUUACUUUGAAAAAAUCAGAGUGUUUCAAGCAGGCAGCUCGCUCUUGCAUGGAUUAUCAUGGGAUAAUGAAAUAGGACUCUGGUGCUAUUUUGUUGGUUUCGAACACCGGAGUAAGGAUUAACAGGGACAGUCAGGGGCACUCGUAUGCCGUCCAGAGAGGUGAGAUUCUCACACCAAUGGAAGACGAACCACUGCGAAAGCAUUUGCCAGGGAUGUUUUCACUGAUCAAGAACGAAAGUUAGGGGAUCGAAGACGAUCAGAUACCGUCGUAGUCUUAACCAUAAACCAUGCCGACUAGGGAUUGGAGGGUGUUCUAUUUGACCCCUUCAGCACCUUACGGGAAACUAAAGUCUUUGGGUUCCGGGGGGAGUAUGGUCGCAAGGCUGAAACUU
rnacentral:rRNA from 1 species